rnacentral:rRNA from 1 species
GUGCAAUGGCAUAAGCCCGCUUGACUGCGAGCGUGUCGGUCCGAGCAGGUGCGAAAGCAGGUCAUAGUGAUCCGGUGGUUCUGCAUGGAAGGGCCAUCGCUCAACGGAUAACACGUACUCCGGUGAUAACAGGCUGAUUCCGCCCCAGCGUUCAUAUCGACGGCGGUGUUUGGCACAUCGAUGUUGGCUCAUCACAUGCUGGGGCUGAAGU